GAACGCUGGCGGCAGGCCUAACACAUGCAAGUCGAACGGUAACAGGAAGCAGCUUGCUGCUUUGCUGACGAGUGGCGGACGGGUGAGUAAUGUCUGGGAAACUGCCUGAUGGAGGGGGAUAACUACUGGAAACGGUGGCUAAUACCGCAUAAYGUCGCAAGACCAAAGAGGGGGACCUUCGGGCCUCUUGCCAUCAGAUGUGCCCAGAUGGGAUUAGCUUGUUGGUGAGGUAACGGCUCACCAAGGCGACGAUCCCUAGCUGGUCUGAGAGGAUGACCAGCCACACUGGAACUGAGACACGGUCCAGACUCCUACGGGAGGCAGCAGUGGGGAAUAUUGCACAAUGGGCGCAAGCCUGAUGCAGCCAUGCCGCGUGUAUGAAGAAGGCCUUCGGGUUGUAAAGUACUUUCAGCGGGGAGGAAGGUGUUGUGGUUAAUAACCRCAGCAAUUGACGUUACCCGCAGAAGAAGCACCGGCUAACUCCGU
rnacentral:rRNA from 1 species